rnacentral:rRNA from 1 species
GGUGAACGCUGGCGGCGCGCUUAACACAUGCAAGUCGUGCGCGAAAGGCUUGAACCGCAAGGGGAUGGCCGAGUAGAGCGGCAAACGGGUGAGUAACACGUAGCUGACCUGCCUCCGCGACGGGGAUAACCACUCGAAAGGGUGGCUAAUACCCGAUAUGCUCACGGGGCUUCGGCCCUGCGAGGAAAGCUCCCGCAAGGGAGCGCGCGGAGAGGGGGCUGCGGCCUAUCAGCUUGUUGGUGGGGUAACGGCCCACCAAGGCGAUGACGGGUAGGGGGCGUGAGAGCGUGGCCCCCCACAUGGGGACUGAGACACGGCCCUGACUCCUACGGGAGGCAGCAUG